rnacentral:lncRNA from 1 species
AUACACCAACUGCUAGUAUACAUAUAUAAAAACGUUCCAAUAGUUAAAUACGUCAUAGGACAAUAUCAGAGCAACUAUACAGAUCAAUUUACAAGGAAGAUAACAACUUGUGAACCAAGAACCCUACAUCAAACUGAGGUAGUGCAGGAAGCCGAAACUGCCCUGUGGUGGCUCACAGAUGCACGUCUAUAGCCUGGGGGCGCAAACAUUGAAAAUGUGAGUGGACCAAAAAUAAAGUUUGGAAAAGACAUAAGAACAUACUAACCCCACUGUAAAAACAGUUAUGCAAAACUAAAUUAUCCUCUUCAUUAUAUUCGUACCGAAAUCAAUGCAUUCAUAUAUUUAUAUACGUAUAUGCCAAUCAUACUCAUGGUCAAUAAAACUCUCUUAAAAGUAUUGAAAUCAAUUUAAAACUACCACCUAGGUGUACUCCUUUAUUUUCGUCAAUUCCUGAUAUUCGUCAAUUCCUCGUGUCAUAAUUUGUGACACGUCCUCGCAGGUCUCGGUAAUACAAGGUCGACCCGAGCUGCAAUCUCGCAGGAUUCAGGAGACCUUUAGACAACCUGAUCCGCAAUCCUCGCUCCCACAGUCCAGGCGUCCCCGAAACUCGUGGAGCAACUGUCAAGCGCGCUGACUAUACCAAAGGCAACAAUUUUAUUCAGAAGGCAACAUUUAUUCUGAGGCAACAUUUAUUCCGAAGGCAACAUCUUUAUAUCUGGGUACCUAAGGUGGCUUAAGAAAAUAUAAAAUUUCUGAAAGACCUGAUGAAUAACUGAAUUUCUGUUAAAUCUAGAACUCUGCUGCCAUUUAUCUAAUAUUUAGCUAGAAUUUCCUUUUCCUAUAUCCUUAAAGGAUAUCCCACUCGGCAGCAUAUAAAUUAAAAUAUUUAAAAGCACAUAUCAAAUAUUGGAAACACUAAUAUUUGAAUAAAACUUAUUUAAGAUCAAAUAAUGAAAUUGAAUUGCAUAAAUUAUUUAUAAAACAAAAAGUCCACUCACUACUGGUUUGAGCUAGCUAGACUUCUUGAAGGUCCCUCUUGCGGGUCUGCCUGGCCCCGGGUGUCUGAUUAAACCAUCAUUAAUAUUUAUUUAAUAAAACUGCUCGGUAUAAGUAUUUAAUUAAAACUCUUACCCCCAGUUUCUAGAAGUGCGUGCACUAACUUUAUAGUCAUUUCUAUGCCCACUUAAGCAUUUCAGAUGGUUAGAGCGGUCUGAAAAGACCCGACACUCGCUAACCGAUAAACUUUCAUAUUGGUCAAUCCGGGACCUCGUGGGGUCCAUGACUUCCAAUUACCAAUCCGAGAGUUCCUAUAAAUUCCUCACAUUUUAAUAACCAUGUCCUGCAAGUCUGGUCGGAAUCGGACAGUCGGAUUGCUCAUGAUCAUACAAUCGGACAGUUAUUGUUUAACUUAAUCUUUGAAAUAUUAAAUCGGAGUAUCCGGGACUCCAGUUCUCAAUCCGCGAAUUUCUACACGAUCCUAGAGAUACAAGGUACGACAUACGUGAAUUUGGGUUUGAUCCAACGGUCCGAACCUAUUGAACAUGGAAAUUGCACAAUAUGCAAAAUCCGUUCGAGGCUCAAACGGUAUCCAAAUUGGAAGCCGAGCAUACUGUCGUGCUCGGGAUGACGUGGGAAACAUUGUAGGACAAAAACCCAACAUAGACACCCCGGCAACGUGCCGCCACCGCCGGCAGGUGCAUUGAGUAAUUUUUCGGUGAUCGGAAAACUCCAAACCGCCGGCCAAUAAUCAUACCUACGGAUUAAGCACAUCAAGGGGAGUAACUUUAUUCCUUGGCUUGACGAUCAAUUCCACCUCUAAAGCCCUCGAACGAAGCUUUCUGUCACUUGAAAACCUAGAAAAUUUAGUUUCAAAAUCAACGAAAUUGGAAUGGAUUCACGUUAGGCUUUCGAGGGAUGACGCAAAGAGAAGGUAGGAGAGUAGUUUAGGUGUAAUUACCUGAGCUGUGGCGGUCGGAAUCCGCCGAAAAAUGCCCCGAAAUUUACCGUUUUGAAACAGUCCAUUUUUGGGCUCACUUUGGCUCGAAUUUUGGCUUUAAUUUCCUUAGAUUUGGGGCUGAAAAUUAGUAUAGAUGUGUAGAGGGGAGAGAGACGAAGAGAAUGGAUCCAAAAUCGUGGUCGUAGGCGGCCGGAUGUGGCCGGAAUCUUCGUCGGAAGCCACUGAGGUCGUGGCUGGCCUGAACAGAGAGGAGAGAGAGG